UACGUAGGGGGCUAGCGUUGUCCGGAAUCAUUGGGCGUAAAGCGCGUGUAGGCGGUCCGGUAAGUCGGAUGUGAAAUCUCCAGGCUCAACCUGGAGGGGUCAUUCGAUACUGCCGUGACUAGAGUUCGGUAGAGGAGUGUGGAAUUCCUGGUGGAGCGGUGAAAUGCGCAGAGAUCAGGAGGAACACCCGUAGCGAAGGCGGCACUCUGGGCCGAUACUGACACUGAGGAGCGAAAGCGUGGGGAGCGAACAGG
rnacentral:rRNA from 1 species